CUUUUUUAAAAAUUUCAAAGUGGUUACUUGCUUUAGUAAGAAAUCCAUUUCUACAUUUCAGUUUCUUGGGUAUAGCAAAAGUGUAGUGCUUGAAUUAAAUAAUGAAGUUGUCAGAUAGAGAAGCUGGGAGGACAUUGCCAUUUCUAGAAGUAUUUUAAGGCUAUAGAUGGAGAGAAUUCUCCAAGUAUACAAUACUUGCAAUUCUUAGAUAGUGUCAAAAAAAAUUUUUUUUUAAUUAAUGUAUUGCUGGGCUUGUAAAAAGGUGUGAAGUAAAUUUACCAGGCAAAAACAAAAUAGUGUGGAUCUGAAAACUUAAGCAAGCUCUAGAAUUGUUUCCCUGGGGGUAUUUGCUUACCUUCUACCUUAAAGCCUGGCUUUGAAUUAGACCCAUGGGAUAGGGGGCCCUGAAGGUAGUGGGAAAGGGCAGAAGAGAAAACUAGAAGCUAAGUACUAUGUGUAGCACAGAAAACAACAUCUCAGAAUGGGACAGUGGGGUUGCUUACUCUUCUCAUUUGUUAACUCUGAAUAUAGUAGAGAAAAAAAGAAACUCUUCCAAUGAAUUCUUAACCACAAGCCUUAAUACAUGUUUGGGGCCAGAAUUCAUAUAACCUUUAUGGCCUAAAUAUCAUAAAUUGUAAUUUUAGUUUAGAGUGGUCACAGUUAGUAAUAUCUCCAGGCAUUGGCAGAAGCAAAUGCAAAUUCUCUUAAGGAAAAUAACUUCAGUUCUCAAAACUAUCCAAACAUAAAGGCCUAAGAAAUUCAUGAAUUUUUAACCAAAAGUAACAAAACAUAGGAGGAAAUGAAUCUCCAAAUAUAAAAGCUAACAAAAAUAUCAGACUACACAAUCAAACCUACAAAGCUUAUAAAUAGACAGCAUAAACUAGGAAUCUUUAGUGUAAGGAAAUAAAAUAAGGCUGUAAGAGUAACAAAGGACCCCCACCAAUGUGGUUCACUGGUUGCGUAUCAACCUGUGAAUCAGGAGGUCAUGGUUCAAUUCCUGGUCAGGGCACAUGCCUGGGUUGUGAGCUCGAUACCCAGUGUGUGUAUGUGUGUGUGUGGGGGGGCGGGGGUGCAGUGAUGAUUCUCACCAUUGAUGUUUCUCUCUCUCCUCCUCCUCCCUUCCUCACUCUAAAAUCAAUAAAAAUGUGUAUUUUUUUUAAAAAAAGUAACAAAGGAAUAAGUAACAAAAAGAUUAGAAAUUUGAAAAAGAAUCAAAUAGAACUUAAAAAACAUUAAUUGAAGAGAGAAACUUUAUGGAUGGGUAAAACAACAAAGCAGACACAUUUAAGAAGAGAAUUUAUAAACUAAAGUACUUGAAAUUUUUUCUUAAAUGAAGAAAAAAAUCAAGAUUGAGAAAUGAUUGGUAAAGGAUGAUAAUCCAUUUUUUAAUGUAAUAUGAGAGAUAAUAUAGAUUUAAGGAAGAGGCAAUAUUUGAAGAAGGAAUAAGAAUUUUCCAGAAAUGUUGAAAUUUUGAAUUCUCAAACUCAAACAGUAUAAAUAAAAGAAAUACAUAGACACAAACUAGUGAAUUAAAGAAUAUCAAACACAGUAGUAAUAUGUUCUCAGAAUGAUGAGACAAAGAAAAAAGAGUAAAGUUUCUCACUAAAGAAACUUUGAAAGUAUAUAAUGUAGGAAGAAGGAAUAUGGUCCCAGUAGGAAAGUCUAAGAUGUAAGAAGAAAUGGUGAGCAAAGAAAUGAUAAAUGUGAGGAAAUUAUAUAGAAACCAUCAAAUAACACUAAUAUCUAAUUUGUAAAGUUUAAAUAAAAAAGAUAAAACUAACUGUUGCCCAUUCUGGACAACUAGAAGGAGUGAUCAGAGUUAAAAUAUUCUAUGGAUUUGUGGUGUUGGGAAGUUAAGAUAAUUGAUUAUCUUCAGAAUUUAUUAAGUUAAAUAUGCAUCUUAAAAUUUCUAGGGUAAACCACUAAAACAGUUGAAAUUUAUAAAUCCUCCAAACAAGAAAGGUAAAGAAGUAGAAAGAGAGAGGGGAGAAAAAACAAAACAAAACACUACUCAAACAACCCAGAAGUCUUGAGAAUAGAGAAGAAAAGAAUCAGGAAUAUAGAAAAUAAGAUUAUUAAAAAACAUAAGAUGGUAUAAAAAAUCAUGCAGCCCUAGCUGGUUUGGUUCAGUGGAUAGAGCAUUGGCCUGUGGACUAAAGGGUCCCAGGUUGCUUUGCAGGUUCGAUCCCCAGUAGGGGGCGUGCAGGAGGCAGCUGAUCAAUGAUUCUCUCUCAUCAUUGCUGUUUCUAUCCCUCCCUCUCCCUUCCUCUCUGAAAUCAAUAAAAAUAUAUUUUAAAAACUAUAUACAGUUUUUAAAAUCAUGCAAAUAUAGUUAUUGUAAUAUAAAUUGUCUAAAUUCUUGUUAAAUGAGGAAGUCUGUUAGUGUAGGUAAAUAGAAACAGUUCAAUGCUAUUUUAUUCAUAAUAAGCAUAUUUAGAAUUGAAAGUAAGAGGAUAAAAAAUACAUACCAGGCAAAAGAAAGUAGGCAUAGUUGAAUUAAUACCAGGCAAAAUAGACAUUAAAGUAAAAAAUACUUUUGGAGAUAAAGUUGGUUAUUUACUAUUGAUGAAAGGUUCAGUUCUCAACUUGAAUUCACAUAAUCUAGCUCCAGAACACAUAAGCAAAAUCAGCAGAACUAAUCCUUGCACGAGGAUAUUUUUUCCAUUAAUUUUUAGGGGGUGGUGGGAGGACAGAAACAUCGAUGUGAGAGAGACACUUCCCAACCCUGGGUGGGGGAUCAAACUGGCAACCCAGGUAUAUGCCCUUGACUAGGAAUCAAACCCAUUACCCUUUGGUGCUUGGGCUGAUGCUGUAACCACUGAGCCAAGCCUGCCAUGGCUAAAUCAACAGAACUCAAUGAGAAAUGAACAGAUUGCAUAAUCACAGUGGGAGGGCUAUUAAUAGAUCAGUGAGAUAAAAAAUAGUAAGAAUAUAGGCAUACCUCAGAGAUGCUGUAAGUUCAAUUCCAAACCAUCACAAUAAAGCGAGUAUCACACUAAUUUUUUUGUCUCCCAAUGCAUAUAUAAAAGUUAUGUUUAUACUAUACUGUAGUGUAAGUGUGCAAUAGCAUUAUGUCUAAAAAAAAAAAUAACCAACAAACAAAAAAAACCCAGUGUAUAUACCUUAGUCAAAAAAUACUUUAUUGCUAACCAUCAUAGGAGCGUUAAGCAAAUCAUGGUAUUUUUGGCAUAGACUUGUUCAACACAGGGUUGCCACAAAACUUCAGUUUGUUAAAAAAAAAAAAAAGUAAAA